rnacentral:tRNA from 2 species
GGAGGCGUGGCUGAGCGGCUGAAAGCAACACACUGCUAAUGUGUUAGGGGCUUUAAAACCCCUCAGAGGUUCGAAUCCUCUCGCCUCCGCCG